rnacentral:rRNA from 1 species
AACGAACGCUGGCGGCAUGCCUAACACAUGCAAGUCGAACGAGACCUUCGGGUCUAGUGGCGCACGGGUGCGUAACGCGUGGGAACCUGCCUUUAGGUUCGGAAUAACUCAGAGAAAUUUGAGCUAAUACCGGAUGAUGUCUUCGGACCAAAGAUUUAUCGCCUUUAGAUGGGCCCNCGUAAGAUUAGCUAGUUGGUGGGGUAAAGGCUCACCAAGGCGACGAUCCUUAGCUGGUCUGAGAGGAUGAUCAGCCACACUGGGACUGAGACACGGCCCAGACUCCUACGGGAGGCAGCAGUGGGAAUAUUGGACAAUGGGCGAAAGCCUAAUCCAGCAAUGACCGCGUGAGUGAUGAAGG